rnacentral:rRNA from 1 species
GACGAACGCUGGCGGCGUGCUUAACACAUGCAAGUCGAACGGAAAGGCCCUGCUUUUGUGGGGUGCUCGAGUGGCGAACGGGUGAGUAACACGUGAGUAACCUGCCCUUGACUUUGGGAUAACUUCAGGAAACUGGGGCUAAUACCGGAUAGGAGCUCCUGCUGCAUGGUGGGGGUUGGAAAGUUUCGGCGGUUGGGGAUGGACUCGCGGCUUAUCAGCUUGUUGGUGGGGUAGUGGCUUACCAAGGCUUUGACGGGUAGCCGGCCUGAGAGGGUGACCGGCCACAUUGGGACUGAGAAAAGGCCCAGACGCCUACGGGAGGCAACAGUGGGGAAUAUUGCACAAUGGGCGGAAGCCUGAUGCAGCAACGCCGCGUGCGGGAUGACGGCCUUCGGGUUAUAAACCGCUGUCGCCUGUGACGAAGCGUGAGUGACGGUAAUGGGUAAAGAAGCACCGGCUAACUACGUG